UUUGCUACGACUGAAUUUAAUAAAGUUUCGACGAAAAACUUUUUCAGUUUUGUCCAAAGCUCAGAAUUUUGGAUGACUUUGACUUUUAACCUCACCGUGGAAUUUUCUUUCCAUUUGCAAGAUUUAAGCGUUUAGCAGGUGUUUGCUGGGGAAGGGGCUGACAGCGCACGGCAGAGCUAGACCGGACAGGUAGGGACGUGCAGCGCGGCGCAUCUUCCCGCGGGAGAACAGAAAGUCUCGGGCUGGUGUCCCGCCCCGCCACCCCCGUAGCCCACUGCCCCCCCCCGCCCUACAAAGGCAGAGAAAGACUUACAUGCCUUCUUUCCUUUCUUCCUUUUUUUUUUUUUUUGGGUUAAUGAAAUAUUUCAAACACACAUAAAGGCUUAAAAAUAAUGCAAUCAACCCCCUCUAUCCACCACCACACAGCUUAAGGAAUAAAACAUUUCAAAACUAGCUCCCAGUGUAACUCUAACCUUCACCGAAUUCUCCCUCCCUUCAAGAAGCAACUCCUAUCUUGAAUUGAAUUUGGCAGGGUCCCUGCCUACAUCAUUAAUCUGAGUGGCCCAAAAUGGUGUGUCCGCACCAUGCUGACAGCCCAGUCUUGCUCUACGCCGCGAAAGAAAACCUGCACCAGCCAGCGAGAACAAUCUGCGGAUAGUCUUUCCUGGAACCUGGCUUGGCACGGAAAGGCACAGCGCAGGGCUCUUCAGGAUUUCCGAUCACCUCGGUGUGCUGGGCAGAGAUAUUCAAAAUAUGAUGUCCAGUGAUGGUAAAGAUUUGAGGAAACAGACACUCUCAUUCAUUGCCGCUAACAGAAAAUUAAUACAACCUUUCUGGAUAACAAAGCUUUAAAAAGGAAAUUAUCUCAUGUUGAACAAUUGAGGGCUGGUCCAAUAAACUACAGCACACACAUAAUAGAGAACAUUAUCCAAACUUUGAAAAAUCCGUAGCAAAAGAACGCUAAAGACAAGGGAAACUGUUGCCAAUACAUUAAACGGAAAGACCCACGACAAACAGCAUGCACAAGACGAUUCCAUUUUUGGUAAAAUAAGAAGCUGAUGAAACAAUAUCUUCAACAUAGUAGCAAACAAUAAGCAUCUCACAGACAUUAUUUGGAGCCAAAGAGGCCAAAUAUGAAGCACCACCUGCUCAAAGAAGCCAAAACCAUGCGUUCGGGGUGGAGAGGAUUCAGGGGAAAUGGAUAUUGACUGGGAAGGAGCAGAGGAAAACGUCCGGG